rnacentral:rRNA from 1 species
UGGGGAAUAUUGGACAAUGGGCGCAAGCCUGAUCCAGCCAUGCCGCGUGAGUGAUGAAGGCCUUAGGGUUGUAAAGCUCUUUUGUCCGGGAAGAUAAUGACUGUACCGGAAGAAUAAGCCCCGGCUAACUUCGUGCCAGCAGCCGCGGUAAUACGAAGGGGGCUAGCGUUGUUCGGAAUCACUGGGCGUAAAGCGCACGUAGGCGGACCGUUAAGUCGGAGGUGAAAGCCUGGGGCUCAACCCCAGAACUGCCUUCGAUACUGGCGGUCUUGAGUAUGGUAGAGGUUGGUGGAACUCCGAGUGUAGAGGUGAAAUUCGUAGAUAUUCGGAAGAACACCAGUGGCGAAGGCGGCCAACUGGACCAUUACUGACGCUGAGGUGCGAAAGCGUGGGGAGCAAACAGG